CGAAAGCCUGACGGAGCAAUACCGCGUGGGGGAGGAAGGCUCUUGGGUCG
rnacentral:rRNA from 1 species